rnacentral:tRNA from 1 species
GGAAGGGUGGCAGAGUGGUCGAUUGCUCCAGCCUUGAAAUCUGGCGAACCGAAAGGUUCCGGGGGUUCGAAUCCCUCCCCUUCCG